rnacentral:siRNA from 1 species
GGUGUGCUGGGUCUUUAUUCAA